rnacentral:rRNA from 1 species
UACGUAGGGGGCAAGCGUUGUCCGGAAUCAUUGGGCGUAAAGAGCGCGUAGGCGGCCCUGUAAGUCCGCUGUGAAAGUCAAGGGCUCAACCCUUGAAUGCCGGUGGAUACUGCAGGGCUAGAGUCCGGAAGAGGCGAGUGGAAUCCUGGUGUAGCGGUGAAAUGCGCAGAUAUCAGGAGGAACACCGAUGGCGAAGGCAGCUCGCUGGGACGGUACUGACGCUGAGCGCGAAAGCGUGGGAGCAAACAGG